rnacentral:rRNA from 1 species
CAUGGCUCAAGACGAACGCGGCGGCGUGCCUAAUACAUGCAAGUCGAACGCUUCUUUCCUCCCGAGUGCUUGCACUCAAUUGGAAAGAGGAGUGGCGGACGGGUGAGUAACACGUGGGUAACCUACCCAUCAGAGGGGGAUAACACUUGGAAACAGGUGCUAAUACCGCAUAACAGUUUAUGCCGCAUGGCAUAAGAGUGAAAGGCGCUUUCGGGUGUCGCUGAUGGAUGGACCCGCGGUGCAUUAGCUAGUUGGUGAGGUAACGGCUCACCAAGGCCACGAUGCAUAGCCGACCUGAGAGGGUGAUCGGCCACACUGGGACUGAGACACGGCCCAGACUCCUACGGGAGGCAGCAGUAGGGAAUCUUCGGCAAUGGACGAAAGUCUGACCGAGCAACGCCGCGUGAGUGAAGAAGGUUUUCGGAUCGUAAAACUCUGUUGUUAGAGAAGAACAAGGACGUUAGUAACUGAAC